CCCCCCACCUCCACCCUUAUUUCCUCCUGCUUUUGCCAUGGGACCCCCAGAUCCCGUUCCCCCCUUCUCUUUUCGCUAAUGUACCUCCUGGAUGCUGAUUCUUUUAAGCUACGAAGAAUUUCCUUUUGGGAGGUGAAACCCUCCAGCUCCUCCUGUUCAGAGGAAAGUGCUAGUGAUGGUAAUACGGGGUGACACUAAAUAAACAGUUAAAGCAGGGCUGGAAAGAUGGAGUUAAUUAUCCAGUGAGCUACAUUUAAACCGAGACCAGGAGGGGCUGAUUUGUUUUGGCGCAGGGAACUGAGAAGGAGACGAGCCACCGAGGUCUCCUCGCUCCUCUUUGGUGGCUCUUUAACUUGUCCUUGCUGUCGCCAGCCCGGGGACCGGCGUCCUUUGGCCCGGGAGGGGGAGCCCCCGGCUGGACCCCCGAACCGUGCCCGCCCGGCCCGUGGCCGCAGCUCUGGGAAUCUCUGUGCCAGCCGUGCAUGGGAGCAGGGGAUUUCAGGGGGUCCAGAGGCAAUUUUUUCCAUGUUUGUUUGCUUUUUUCCCCCAGAAGUUAGAUAAAUUCUCGUCCGUGCGGCUCGCCGGUGCCUGUGGUCUCAGCAGGAUCCUGUUGGAUCUUCAUCUGGAAUGAUUCUGGAGGUAUUGACUGCAGGGAAGAAGUUACCAGUUUCCCACGUAUCACAACUGACAGUGAAGUUCCUUCAGUUCUGGGAGAUUUCCAACAAUUCCACUUAACUCCCAAAGCACAGCUGUGAAUGCAUGUGGGGCUGCACUUCUUGAGAUUCCAGCCCAGAGAUUUCUGCAGCCAGAGAUCACCACAACAGGGGAUGCAGCCUGGAAGGAGACCUCUGCUUCCCAAGCUCUGCAGAGCUGGAUCAGCCUCGAGAAAAGAGGGAGAUGCUCCCCGGGCUGGGAGGGGACUCCCUGCGAGGAGAGAGCGGGACGCGGCUGCGAUCCAUGGGAAAGGUGGAGGAAUGGUGAAAAACACCAAGGCAAU